AAAAAACCAAAUAGACAGGCUUAGUAAAGGUACAGUACUAGUCUUAAUAUCCUAAUAAUAAUCUUCACAACAAUUCACAUAAUACAGUACAUAUAAAUAAAUAUGAGUGCAGAUAAGUUCCCAAGUAUGCCUCCUUAAAUACUCCAUCAAAUUCCACGUCCUAUGAGUACAGAAAUUCACCCUUAGUUCAAGUCCCAUUUGUACGAAUUCAGUUCACGGCAUCCGAUCAAAUCCUCCAGCUUCUGGGGCAACCUGAUUCCCAUUAACAUUAAGGAGCAAUUGCUGCAGCCAUGUUCUCGUUGUUGGAUCCUCACUAAGACAACUGCUGAAGGUGUCAUCUCUAAGCCUAUCGGGAAGACAAUUUUUCAGUGCCUGACAAGCCCUUGGCUCAUCUGAUAAACGAAGAUAGCAUCUGAUUAUGUAUUUCAGCAAUCUUGAUGAAGGCUGCUGAGCAAGCGCACCGACCAUAUUCCCUAAAGCUUGAGCUACUUCAAAAAACCUAUUCGACGUGGUACAGAUGUACUUCAGACCCACAUCAUCUAGAAGGAUUUUUUGCACAAUGGAAGUCGCAACUGUUUUUGAUAGUUCACUCCCCAUCUCCAUUGAGCAUAAGCACCGAGGAACUAUCUCUGUCGAAACAAGAAAACUGAUAACUUCAGUGUUGUCUAUCUUCACAAGGGCACCAAUAACGCCUAAGCUUGUAAGCCUCAAAUGUUCAAAUGGUGUUGACCUGAUUGUUGUAUUAAGAAAGGGGUA
rnacentral:misc_RNA from 1 species